rnacentral:rRNA from 1 species
GAGUUUGAACCUGGCUCAGGAUGAACGCUGGCGGCGUGCUUAAUACAUGCAAGUCGAACGAAGCACCUCUCCCGUUGAUUGACCUAGCUUGCUAGAGAUUGAAACAAUUGAGGUGACUGAGUGGCGGACGGGUGAGUAACGCGUGGGUAACCUGCCUUGUACAGGGGGAUAACAGUUGGAAACGACUGCUAAUACCGCAUAAGCGCACAGUAUCGCAUGAUACAGUGUGAAAAACUCCGGUGGUACAAGAUGGACCCGCGUCUGAUUAGCUAGUUGGAGGGGUAACGGCCCACCAAGGCAACGAUCAGUAGCCGACUUGAGAGAGUGAUCGGCCACAUUGGGACUGAGACACGGCCCAAACUCCUACGGGAGGCAGCAGUAGGGAAUAUUGCACAAUGGGGGAAACCCUGAUGCAGCGACGCCGCGUGAAGGAUGAAGUAUUUCGGUAUGUAAACUUCUAUCAGCAAGGAAGAAAAUGACGGUACUUGACUAAGAAGCCCCGGCUAAAUACGUGCCAGCAGCCGCGGUAAUACGUAUGGGGCAAGCGUUAUCCGGAUUUACUGGGUGUAAAGGGAGCGUAGGCGGUACGGCAAGUCAGAAGUGAAAGCCUGGGGCUCAACCCCGGAAUUGCUUUUGAAACUGUCGAACUAGGGUGUCGGAGGGGUAAGCGGAAUUCCUAGUGUAGCGGUGAAAUGCGUAGAUAUUAGGAGGAACACCGGUGGCGAAGGCGGCUUA